rnacentral:tRNA from 1 species
CGCUAAGAAGCUUAUAAAGGGAAAAGCAUUAGCCUUUUAAGCUAAAGGCAGGUGACUCCCGACCACCCUUAGCGA